rnacentral:rRNA from 1 species
GUCUAUGGCCAUACCACCCUAAACAUGCCCCAUCUCAUCUGAUCGUGGAAGCUAAGCAUGGUCAGGCCUGGUUAGUACUUAGAUGGGGAAAGUAAAAUGUACAGUUA